rnacentral:rRNA from 1 species
UGUAAGCGUAUACCAGAGUUGUUGCAGUUAAAACGCUCGUAGUCGGAAUUUGGCAGUUCCGGAUGUGUGCACGUCGUGUGCGCACUUCGCGGGGAUUGCUUUUGUGGUCUUGCGUAGGAUGAGGCACUUUUAUUAGUGAACGUCCUCACGCAACCACUUUUUACUGUGAGAAAAUCAGAGUGCUCAAAGCAGGCAUUUGCCGUGAAUGUAUUAGCAUGGAAUAAUAGAAUAGGACUUGGUUCUAUUUUGUUGGUUUGUUGGGACUGAGUAAUGAUUAAGAGGGACAGUUGGGGGCACUUGUAUUUCGGUGCUAGAGGUGAAAUUCUUAGAUUACCGAAAGACAAACUGCUGCGAAAGCGUCUGCCAAGGAUGUUUUCAUUGA